rnacentral:rRNA from 1 species
UGGGGAAUAUUGGGCAAUGGGCGCAAGCCUGACCCAGCAACGCCGCGUGAAGGAAGAAGGCUUUCGGGUUGUAAACUUCUUUUGGCAGGGACGAAACAAAUGACGGUACCUGCAGAAUAAGCUCCGGCUAACUACGUGCCAGCAGCCGCGGUAAUACGGAGGGAGCAAGCGUUAUCCGGAUUUACUGGGUGUAAAGGGCGCGUAGGCGGGAAUGCAAGUCAGAUGUGAAAUCUGAGGGCUCAACCCCCAAACUGCAUUUGAAACUGUAUGUCUUGAGUGAUGGAGAGGCAAGUGGAAUUCCUAGUGUAGCGGUGAAAUGCGUAGAUAUUAGGAGGAACACCAGUGGCGAAGGCGACUUGCUGGACAUUAACUGACGCUGAGGCGCGAAAGCGUGGGGAGCAAACA